GAAAUGCGAUAAGUAAUGUGAAUUGCAGAAUUCAGUGAAUCAUCGAAUCUUUGAACGCACAUUGCGCCCGCCAGUAUUCUGGCGGGCAUGCCUGUUCGAGCGUCAUUUCAACCAUCAAGCCCCGCGCUUGUGUUGGGGACCUGCGGCUGCCGCAGGCCCUGAAAACCAGUGGCGGGCUCGCUGUCACACCGGGCGUAGUAGAUUUUAUCUCGCUCAGGGCGUGCUGCGGGUUCCGGCCGUUAAAAAGCCUUUUUUACCCAAGGUUGACCUCGGAUCAGGUAGGUAGACCCGCUGAACUUAAGC
rnacentral:misc_RNA from 1 species